rnacentral:rRNA from 1 species
AUGGCGCGUACAGCAAAGGAUCUGAAAACCUGGAGUUCCUCACUCUUUAGCGACGCCAAGAUCCAAUUCCACAUAGCAACAGAGAUCAUCCUACGUCUAGACAUAGCCCAAGAAUCCCGCAGCCUCUCCACGCCGGAAUUCAAUCUUCGACGACUCCUCAAGCAAAGGUUGCUCAGCCUUGCGGCGAUCGAGCACGCGCGCAAGCGCCAAGCUUCCAGGCUGACCUGGAUCAAGCUGGGCGAUGCAGGAACCAAGUUCUUUCAUGCAAAGAUCCGUUCGAGACGUAGAAAGAACUUCAUUCACAACCUAAGGACUGGAAACGGAAUCGUCACAUCACACGAGGACAAGGAAGCAGUCAUCUUCGAGCAUUUCAACUCCGUCCUCGGCUCCAAAGGAGAUUGCCGUAGGGCCAUCAACUGGAGCCAGCUACAGCUGCCCACUCUUCGAGGAGGGGGCCUCGACAACCCCUUCUCCGAGGAAGAAGUGUGGGAGGCGAUCAAGGCCUCGCCGGCAGAAAAAGCUCCGGGCCCGGACGAAUUCAUUGGAAUUUUCUUCCGUAGUUGUUGGCAAACAAUCAAGCAAGACAUCAUGAGAGCUUUCUACCAAUUCUACUCCGGCGAUGGUCUUGAUGCUCUUAACUCUUGCCAUGGUAGUUUUGAUCCCGAAGAAAGAUGGCGCAGAAACAAUCUCUGA